GAUGAUUUAUACCAGGUUGCUUUCCUAUUUGUUUCAGUCUCCACAACCAUCACUUACAGCUCGAAACUGGCUCUAGGCAGGGGGUCAAGGGGUCUACCCCUCAGGCUAUGGCCUGCUCGUCAGAAUGAUCCUAGAGGCCAGACCUGUGAGGGCAGAAAGAGCUGAGAUGGAAGACUUUUGUAAGAAGGAGAAAUACUGAAAGAGAAAAAAAAAGACAUGAAGACAACACAACUUAUCUAAAAGAACAAGAUUUUUAUUCUUACUAUAUUUAUGAAACACAUUCAUAAACCAUGCUGUGAGAGAAACUGAAUGAUUUCCAUCUUGAAUGUUUUCCCUUUCCAUAAAAGACAAGUUUCCACAGAAAAUAAUAUAUUGCCAACUCUGAAAGCACAAGAAUGAACAGAAAUGGUAUGGAUUACACAACUCGUUCAAAGAUCCAAAAACUGAGUAUAAGAAAAGAAGUGAAACCGGGAAAGUUUUCUUGACAUGGAAACCAGGUGUUUCAUAUUGCAUCAGGGACCCCAAACGAUCUGCUACACAAAUCAGCUCCUGUACAUCAGGCUUGUAGCUCUCAAAAUUCUGAGGCAACACAUCUCUGGAAGAAACAUUACACACACGAUAAGGGCUUUUACAACAGCCAUUUGGAAAUCCGAUUCUACCCAAGCAGCGAUCACUUCCUCCUCUGGGAAAAUAACUAAGUCAGGCCUACAGCUGAGCCUAUGCUGAAGAAAUAUAUUACAACACAAUCUCUACUUUGAUCUCU